CUGUUUCAAUCUUCAAUCUGCACACUAAAUUCUCAUUUUUGCAAACGAUUCCUGAUGUGAAAUUACUGCUGUAGCCUCAAACUUUGACUAAUAUAAAAACAUCACUGUUUUCCCCCUUGCUGCUGCUUAAAGUGUUGACAAUGACACUUAAUUUCAGCAGAGGACAGUGAUGGGUCAACAGCACAAUCAACACAGAUCUGUCAAAGAUCUGACUGCCUUUCUUCAGGAUCAGGGAGGGAAAAAAGCAGUCACAAGAGUAUGUAACUGUCUUUAAAUGUGUGUUCCUCAUUGAUUUAAUCUUCAAGUUUAAAUGCUCCGCUAUCAUACAGCUGAGUGUCUCUUUCCUUGCAGGGUCAAAGGUCAAGUGUUGUAGAUAUG